GAAUUAAUGAUCAAACCCUUAAGAUGUAAAAAAGGUCAACAUUUUAACCUUCUCCAAUGAUAAUCUAACUAGUGUACUGUUUAGGCACUCCAACAGCAAGCAAUGAUGAACCCCUGAUACUGGGGACGGUACUAGAGUAUAAAUAAUAGUCUAGUACUGUCCUAAUCAGAACCUUAACCCUUCAACCCUGCAAAUUCAGGGGUCCACCCCCUGCAGAUAGAUAGAUACCUGUCUAUCAGUAGUUAGUACAAAAAUAAGUAGACUAGAACAAAUAAUAUGGUUAAUUCAAUAAUUAUGUAAUAUGAGAAAUACUGAUUAAGAUAAUCAGUUUUAUAUUUCAGAUAAUAGGGUAAAACAACAAAUUAUUUUAAUUUUUCAUUUUAUUAAGUUCCUUUACGCUUACUUCUUAGUCUACUUAUGCAGUACAUUUUUGGUUGUGUUAGGUUCUUAUUUGUUCAGUUCUUACACUCAUUACUUGUCCUUUAUUCGGGUACCCUCGGCCCGGUACAUAUAUACUUCUUGUAUGUCAAAUCAAAUUUUACAUACAAGUCAGCAUGCCUAUGCUUUAAACAGCUUUAUAGCUUGGAGCAAAAAAAAAAUGUUACUUUCAUAUAAGACGAGUUUCAAGCCCCCACCCCCCUUAUUAAUUUAUUUUUAUAAUUGUUUAUUAAAACAUACUGCGGAAUUUUUUCUAAUUGGAACCCGUAAGCAAAAUAUUGUAUAUCUUCCUGAAAUGUACAUUGUUAUGUACACCGUAUAUACUGCAUAUUGUACUGUGCUCUGCAUUGCAUUGGUAAACAUUAUUUUAUCAUUAUCAUUUCUUUGAAACUGUAAACUUAGUCUUGUAUUAAAUGUAAAAUGUUUAUGAUCUAUAUAAUGUUGUUCACUAAGGGAGAGUGAUUUUUUUGAAUCGCCCUUUACCUCUAAUAGGAGACAAAAAGCAACGUUGACACAGUUUUGAUAGAAGCAAAAAUUGCACUGCGAUACCAACUUUGUUUAAAGUAAGAAUUGCUGGUAAAAUAGAAAAAGUUCAGAUUGACAAAAUAUUUUACGACUGUGGUGCGGAAAUUGAAAUUUGAUAAGAUGUAUAAAUUGACCUCCCUUAAUGCAUAAUUUGCAAUGUACUGUCUGAGUGUUAUUUAUAACGAUUGCAUUAUUUUAUGUGUAAAUAAAUUUUAUAAAAAAUUCAA